AUCCACUUUGCGGGAAAAGAAAUCAACUUCAAGAGGGCAGGACACGCUGGUCAUAUAUUCCUCCUCCCUCAAGGAGCAGUUUCCUAUGAGUGUGUGUGAAAUAAUAUAAUACGUCCGAAUGCAUGUUUUAUCAUGCGAGUGCUUUUGGCACUAAUCUGACGCCAUAGUGAGUGUGGUUCUGCCAGUUUUGGUAUGUAAUCAUCACUGUAUAUGCAGACGGGUGGAAAAAAAAUUAUUUGUGCCAUUCUUAAUCACACAGACACUAAGGGCAGUUACUUUCAGCUAUUGCACCCUUUUGUGGCCCGAUUUUAAGGGUCUACCAUAUUGUGACCAUUUAAUCUUGAAAUUAAAAUUGCACGAGAAAUUCAAAAAGUGAAGCUGUUAAAUGGCUGCUAUGCAGUCAGUGGGCAGUUAAUUACAGGUACCUGUUCAACUGCUCAUUGAAGCAAAUAUCUAAUUAGGCAAUCAUGUGUCAUACACAAAAUACACUUGGGUAUAUAGACAUGAUAAAGCUAAACUACGAAAGUUAAACCAAGUAUUAAAAUGGGGAACGUGAUUUAAGUGACUCUGAAAGUGGCAUAUUGUUUAUUUUAUAUGUUGAAAAAUGUUUUGUGGAAACAAAGGAGAAAUUCCACAGUUCGCUCUCUUUCUCUCUUCCUCUUUCUGCUGUCCUUUGACAUAGAGCAUGUUUGUCAUCGGCUUUGUUGGUGUGUUUGCAUUUGUCUGAGUGCAGUGAGGACAUCGCUGUCCGGUCGAGAGGAGACCUAGACUACGUCCACACAUACAUGGGCAUUUUAGAAAAUGGGGAUUUUCCACCUUCAAUU